GCCGGUUAGAACUUUCAAUCCCCGCCUCCCGCCCUGAUCCCCCACAUCCGGGGAGGGGAGAGAGGCCAAUGGCCAUUGGCCAAUGGCCAAUGAUUUAAUCAAUCAUACCUAUGUAAUGUGGUCUCCAUAAGAGCCCAAGAGGAGAGGGUUUAGAAAACUUCCAGACUGGUGAACAUGUGGAGAUUGGGGAGAGUGGAGCACCUGGAGAAGACGUGGAAGCUAAGUUUUUCCCCCAUAUCUUGCCCUAGGCGUCUCUUCCAUCUGGCUGUUCCUGAGUUAUAUCCUUUUAUAAUAAGCCAGUGAUCUAGAUCAUUGGGACAGUUGGAGAAACAGAUCAAGCUUCCAGGAACAAUACCUUGAGGCACGCCACAGACCGGGAGGGAGUUGUUGUCUGUCACCACCACAAACUCCAGAACCACUCCACAGAUCUGUCCUGAGGAGGAAGCGGCCACCGCCACUGCCACUGACUCCAUAACCGUAUUUCACGGAUUAGAGAGGAGACUCCAUCACUACCUCUACCUCUGGCGCCAUUCAUACCAUCAAAACAUGAAUUUCCCAUGCAGACCCUAUUUUCCCGCAGGGCUGAAACCAGACUUCUAGGAAGCAUUGAAUAAUCAAGACACAGGAAGAGCAGAGGUGCAGCUGGGUUAUGAGUACUUCGAGCCAGGGACCAGAAGGUACAGGCAACAGGAUUAAAGAAGAGGGAAUCCAAAGAGGAUGGCCCUUUGAUGUCAGGCAACCUGGUUACCAUCUCGGAAGGCUCUAAUCACCUGUCUGAGCUUGGCACAGAUCUCUGAUGCCUGAGGGAGAAACUGGCAAGAAUACGAUCAGAACCAAAGCAGAUGCCUGUCCUGAGAAAAGGGAACAUAAUUUUUAGUGAUCUCGAAUGUUCAGGCAGCACUUCAGUCUCCUGCUAGUCACUGUGGGAGAUUUCCAGAUCUAGUCAGUAUCAAGAGACUCUGAGGGGAACAAUGCAGGAGAGCCGCCUCCAGCCUGGCUGUGAUAGCCCUCCCCACAUCUGGAAAAAAUAAAAAAGCAUUUCCUUCUUUCUACAUAACAAACAGUCAAUCAUUUUGAAUGGGUGUUGUUUCAGGACUUCAACUAUUCGCCAUUUUUUUCCUCACUGUUUGAUGCCUGGAGUUUUUUUUUCCUUUGCUUCGCUGGUAGAUACUUUAAGAAAUAUUCCUCAUUGCCUGAAGGCUGACUCCUUGACAUAUUUUGCACAAAUGUGUGUGUGUGCAUAGAAUCACACACUUGGGGGUGUCUUAGCUGUUGACACCUUAAGGCUCAAAGGGAGGGAGAUGGUGAUGGCUCUCAGAGGUCAGG
rnacentral:lncRNA from 1 species